rnacentral:rRNA from 1 species
AACGAACGCUGGCGGCAUGCCUAACACAUGCAAGUCGAACGAGACCUUCGGGUCUAGUGGCGCACGGGUGCGUAACGCGUGGGAACCUGCCCUUAGGUUCGGAAUAACUCCCCGAAAGGGGUGCUAAUACCGGAUAAUGUCUUCGGACCAAAGAUUUAUCGCCUUUGGAUGGGCCCGCGUUGGAUUAGCUAGUUGGUAGGGUAAAAGCCUACCAAGGUGACGAUCCAUAGCUGGUCUGAGAGGAUGAUCAGCCACACUGGGACUGAGACACGGCCCAGACUCCUACGGGAGGCAGCAGUGGGGAAUAUUGGACAAUGGGCGAAAGCCUGAUCCAGCAAUGCCGCGUGAGUGAUGAAGGCCUUAGGGUUGUAAAGCUCUUUUACCCGGGAUGAUAAUGACAGUACCGGGAGAAUAAGCGCCGGCUAACUCCGUG